rnacentral:rRNA from 1 species
UGGCGAACGGGUGAGUAACACGUGGGCAACCUGCCCAAAAGAGGGGGAUAACACUUGGAAACAGGUGCUAAUACCGCAUAACCAUAGUUACCGCAUGGUAACUAUGUAAAAGGUGGCUAUGCUACCGCUUUUGGAUGGGCCCGCGACGCAUUAGCUAGUUGGUGGGGUAAAGGCUUACCAAGGCAAUGAUGCGUAGCCGAACUGAGAGGUUGAUCGGCCACAUUGGGACUGAGACACGGCCCAAACUCCUACGGGAGGCAGCAG